rnacentral:rRNA from 1 species
AUUGAACGCUGGCGGCAUGCUUUACACAUGCAAGUCGAACGGCAGCGCGGGCUUCGGCCUGGCGGCGAGUGGCGAACGGGUGAGUAAUGCAUCGGAACGUGCCCAGUAGUGGGGGAUAGCCCGGCGAAAGCCGGAUUAAUACCGCAUACGACCUGAGGGUGAAAGCGGGGGACCGAAAGGCCUCGCGCUAUUGGAGCGGCCGAUGUCGGAUUAGCUAGUUGGUGGGGCAAAGGCUUACCAAGGCGACGAUCCGUAGCUGGUCUGAGAGGACGACCAGCCACACUGGGACUGAGACACGGCCCAGACUCCUACGGGAGGCAGCAGUGGGGAAUGUUGGACAAUGGGGGCAACCCUGAUCCAGCCAUGCCGCGUGCGGGAAGAAGGCCUUCGGGUUGUAAACCGCUUUUGUUCGGGAAGAAAUCCUCUGGGCUAAUACCCCGGGGGGAUGACGGUACCGGAAGAAUAAGCACCGGCUAACUACGUG